rnacentral:rRNA from 1 species
UCGAGAAUCUUCGUCAAUGGGGGAAACCCUGAACGAGCGACGCCGCGUGUGGGAUGAAGGCCUUUGGGUUGUAAACCACUGUCAGGGGGGAUGAAACCGCAAGGUUGACAGAGCCCCAGAGGAAGCACGGGCUAAGUUCGUGCCAGCAGCCGCGGUAAUACGAACUGUGCGAACGUUAUUCGGAAUCACUGGGCUUACAGGGUGCGUAGGUGGCCGGACAAGUCAGGUGUGAAAUCCCUCAGCUCAACUGAGGAACUGCGCUUGAAACUGUUUGGCUAGAGUGAGCUAGGGGUGCUUGGAACUGCCAGUGGAGCGGUGAAAUGUGUUGAUAUUGGCAGGAACACCGGAGCCGAAAGGGAAGCACUGGGGCUUAACUGACACUGAGGCACGAAAGCCAGGGGAGCAAACGGG